rnacentral:rRNA from 1 species
GAUGAACGCUGGCGGCGUGCCUAAUACAUGCAAGUAGAACGCUGAAGGAGGAGCUUGCUCUUCUGGAUGAGUUGCGAACGGGUGAGUAACGCGUAGGUAACCUGCCUGGUAGCGGGGGAUAACUAUUGGAAACGAUAGCUAAUACCGCAUGACAACAGUUAUUGCAUGAUAACUGUUUAAAAGGGGCAACUGCUCCACUACCAGAUGGACCUGCGUUGUAUUAGCUAGUUGGUGAGGUAACGGCUCACCAAGGCGACGAUACAUAGCCGACCUGAGAGGGUGAUCAGCCAGACUGGGACGGGGACCGGGCCCAGAGUGCUACAGGAGGGAGCAGUAGGGCAUCUUGGGCAAUGGACGGAAGACUGACCGAGCAACGCCGCGUGAGGGAAGAAGGUUUUCGGAUCGUAAAGCUCGGUUGUAAGAGAAGAACGAGUGUGAGAGUGGAAAGUUCACACUGUGACGGUAUCUUACCAGAAAGGGACGGCUAACUACGUG